ACCACGUGGGCCCUGAGUUCCUCAGCGGCGCCUUCGUGGGCGACACGCGAUUCCGGAGCUUCCACAGCCGCGGCGAGAAUCAGAGCGUGAAGCCGCGGGCGCCGCGGGUGGAGAAGAUGGGACAGGUCUGUGGGCGCCCUGAGGAAAGUUCUCGAAGACCGCAGGGAAUGUGUUACUGAGGGGCCUGAGGUUCCUGGGCCGGCACCACCACCCGGGUCAGCCGGCGAGUGACCUCAGACUCCGGGCACAGGUGUCCCCCGCCCCGACUCCACAGUGAUGGGCCUGGGUCUCCCAGGGAUGGGGGGCGGGGCCUCAGCUGAUCCCUCCCAGGUGGGAAAGCGCUGGGGACAUUUUGCUCCAGGUUUCUCCUUCAAUCUGGAUCAUGACCGACUUGUUCUGUGACCAAUGACAGAGGGAGGAAGGAGCUGGGGUGGGCGGGGCGACCCCCCUCCCCGCCCUGGCCCCGCCUCCGGCUCGCCCUGGGGCAGGUCCAGGGCACCGCACCUGCUGAUGCUGCUGCCUGGCUGGGUGGUGGCUCCGCACAGGAGCUUCCUCGAAGGACACUUUAAGUCCGCCUACGACAAGGAGAUUUCAUGUCCCUGAACGAGGACCUGCAGACCUGGACAGCGGCUCAAAGAGCAGCUUGGAGGAUCCAGCGCACUUGGGAGAGGUUCUGGACCGCGGAGGCCACAAGGGAAGCCCCGAUGUGUCACUGCACUAGACGGCUGCUCAGACAUCUGGAGCAUGGCAAGGAGAUGAUGCUGCCGGCAGAGCCCCUUGGAGGUUCCUGCUGUGCAGCAAAGCCCGGGAGGGGCCCCAGGCUGUGGAAGGCAGGCUGAGACGUCAUAGGAACUUCCUUCUCUGGGAUCUCAAACUCCUAGACCAGCUGAGUACAUUGAGCGGAUGGGAAGCACCAACACCCCACGUGGAUUACCGGAAGCGCUGGUUCUGGAGAAUAUAGCAAUCUCACAGCAGGAUUCUGAGAACCUCCCAUCCAUGCUUCAAGCUGAAGUCUUCAAUGUCUGCUUCCCUGACCUCCCUACUGUAGCUUCCAGGAGCUCCAAUGGUGACUGGUAUUAUUAUAGUAUCCUGCUGCCGCUAUAACAAACUACCACAACUAUGUGGCUUAAAACAACACAAAUGUAUUCUCUUAUAGUUCUGGAGGUAAGAAGUCAAAAAUGGGUCACUACGGGCUAAAAUUAACAUGUCGUCAGAGCUGCAUUUCUUCUGAGGCUGUAAAGGAAAAUCUGUUUCCUCGCCCUUUCCAGCUUCUUGGGGUUGACUGCAUUCUUUAGCUUCUGGUCUCUUCCUCCAUCUUCCAAGUCAGCAGUCACAUCACUUUGACCUCUGAUUCUGUUGUCAUAGCUUUAAUUCUGAUGCUGCUCUCUACUCCUUUCACUUAUAAGGACUAUUGUGAUUACAUUGAACCUGCCCAGAUAAUCCAGGAUAAUCUUCCCAUCUCAAGAGCCUCAGUUUAAUCACAUCUGAAAAGUUCCUUUUGCCCUAUUAGGAGACAUUUUUAUAAGUUCCAGGGAUUAGGACACAGACAUAUUUAGGAGACCAUUAUUCUGCCUGUCACAUGACUUCACCAAUCUUUGCUACCCGUGAUUUCCAAACAUUAGCGUAUGCUCUUAUUUCUAUUUAUUCCUGAAAUACCAGAGUGAGUCUGUUUUUCUGAAAACAGCUCACUAAUGCCCAGAGGAGCUCAAAAAUUUUCUGUCUAUUGUCUCAAAGUCUCCAAAUUGUACUGAUUCUUCAAUGUGCAAUGGCUGUAAAUUCUGACUCCCCAAGAGGUUUUCACAGUAUUCAUGUCCACUUCCUUCAUCAGUCGUCUUCUUGUCUUAUAUCUCCAUGUUUACAUUUUUCUUCUCUUCUACCACUGUAGUUCUGCCUUGAUUCUUCAGCCAUUGACUUCCUUUUACAUGCGUGUGCUUCAGCAAGUUCUCUAGAAAGACAUUCCAGACAGCUCAUUAUCAUUUGUUACUAUGUUUAUUUGACUGCAGAGCUUUCAAGAGUUGUAACUUUCUAUUUUUAAAAUUUUAGUGUAAAAAUAAUUCAUGCUCACAAUAGGAAAUGAAACAAUGAAAAUAUGCAUAAAUAUACUUUUAAAUUUCUCCUGUCACUAAAUCCAAACCCACUUAACUAAGGUGAUUGCUAUUGUAUCAGCCGACUCUCUGCAUGUCUACUUUCUUCACUUGCGCGCAAACCAUAGUGAGUGUUUUUAUCUGGUAGCUUAUGUUGAGCUGUAAUGACUGUAAAUUUUAUAUGUAAUUUAAUCAUUUUCAGGACAACUUGAGAUGUAAUUUAAAUAGUGUAAAAUCCACACAUUCAAAAUAUACAAUUCAGUGGUUUUUAGAAUAUUCACAGUUGUGCCUCCAUUACCACAAUCAAUUACAGAUCCUUUUAUCUCCUCCCAGCCCUGCAGAAAAAUCCAUAUCCAAACCCCAGCCCUAAGAAACUACCAACCUAUGUUCUAGCUCUACAGAUUGACCUAUUCUGAACAUUUUAUGUAAUGAAAUUAUACAACAUGUGGCCUUUUGCGUCUGUCUUCUUUUACUUACCAGAAUGUUUUCAAAGUUUGUGUGGAUCGUAGCUUGUAUCAGUACUUCACAUCUUUUUCAUUGCUUAAUUAUAUUCCAUUGUAUGGAUAUAUCACAAUUUGUUUAUUUAUUAGUUGGUGACAUUUUGGUCCUUCUCAUUUGGAUUAUGAUUAAUAAUGCUGCUAUAAACAUGGCAUGUAAGUUUUUAUGUGAACUUAUGUUUUCAUUUGUCUUGGGUAUACUGUAUACAUAGGAGGGGAUUGCUGGGUCAUAUAAUAACUUAAUGUUCAACAAUUUGAGCUACUGCUAGCCUGCUUUCUAAAGGGGCUAUGUCUCUUAAAUCCCCACCAGCAAAGUAUGAG